rnacentral:rRNA from 1 species
CUUGCGGUUUAUUGGAUUCAACGCCGGAAAUCUUACCGGGACCGACAGCAAUAUGAAGGCCAGGCUGAAGACUUUGCCGGAUUAGCUGAGAGGUGGUGCAUGGCCGUCGUCAGUUCGUACUGUGAAGCAUCCUGUUAAGUCAGGCAACGAGCGAGACCCACGCCCACAGUUGCCAGCGUACUCUCUGGAGUGACGGGUACACUGUGGGGACCGCCGCUGCUAAAGCGGAGGAAGGAAUGGGCAACGGUAGGUCAGUAUGCCCCGAAUAUCCCGGGCUACACGCGAGCUACAAUGGUUGGUACAAUGGGUAUCUACCCCGAAAGGGGACGGGAAUCUCCUAAAACCAAUCUUAGUUCGGAUUGAGGGCUGCAACUCGCCCUCAUGAAGCUGGAAUCCGUAGUAAUCGCGUUUCAACAGAACGCGGUGAAUACGUCCCUGCUCCUU